rnacentral:rRNA from 1 species
AUUGAACGCUGGCGGAAUGCCUUACACAUGCAAGUCGAACGGCAGCACGGACUUCGGUCUGGUGGCGAGUGGCGAACGGGUGAGUAACAUAUCGGAACGUAUCCAAUAAUGGGGGAUAACGAGUCGAAAGAUUCGCUAAUACCGCAUACGCCCUACGGGGGAAAGCUAGGGACCUUCGGGCCUGGCGUUGAUGGAGCGGCCGAUAUCUGAUUAGCUAGUUGGUGAGGUAAAGGCUCACCAAGGCGACGAUCAGUAGCUGGUCUGAGAGGACGACCAGCCACACUGGAACUGAGACACGGUCCAGACUCCUACGGGAGGCAGCAGUGGGGAAUUUUGGACAAUGGGCGCAAGCCUGAUCCAGCCAUUCCGCGAGAGUGAAGAAGGCCUUCGGGUUGUAAAGCUCUUUCGCAAGGGAAGAAAACUUAUCCUCUAACAUAGGAUGAGGUUGACGGUACCUUGAUAAGAAGCACCGGCUAACUACGUGCCAGCAGCCGCCGUAA